rnacentral:rRNA from 1 species
AGAGUUUGAUCCUGGCUCAGGAUGAACGCUAGCGGCAGGCCUAAUACAUGCAAGUCGAACGGUGAUAGCAAUAUCAUAGUGGCGCACGGGUGCGUAACACGUAUGCAACCUACCUUAUACUGAGGGAUAGCCUUUCGAAAGGGAGAUUAAUACCUCAUAACACAUUGAACUGGCAUCAGUUUAUUGUUAAAGAUUUAUUGGUAUAAGAUGGGCAUGCGUCCAAUUAGUUAGUUGGCGAGGUAACGGCUCACCAAGACGAUGAUUGGUAGGGGAACUGAGAGGUUAAUCCCCCACACUGGCACUGAGAUACGGGCCAGACUCCUACGGGAGGCAGCAGUAGGGAAUAUUGGGCAAUGGAGGCAACUCUGACCCAGCCAUGCCGCGUGCAGGAAGAAGGCGUUAUGCGUUGUAAACUGCUUUUAUAUAGGAAGAAAUAGACCUUGCGAGGUAAGUUGACGGUACUAUAUGAAUAGGCACCGGCUAACUCCGUGCCAGCAGCCGCGGUAAUACGGAGGGUGCAAGCGUUGUCCGGAUUUAUUGGGUUUAAAGGGUGCGUAGGCGGUUUAUUAAGUCAGUGGUGAAAGACGGUCGCUCAACGAUUGCAGUGCCAUUGAUACUGGUAG